CAAGCUUCUUAGUGGUGAUGUCGACGACGUUGGCCACCCUUUGAAAUGACGUGGUCCUCUUGAAGCUGCGUUUCCUCAUCGCAGCUGAAGUCUGCUGAACCGAUCGUUGCAUGUCUAGGGUAACGCUGCAGAUAUAGCGGAAAGGAAUCGUGCUUUCCGUUCAAUUUCACGCACUCCUCACUGCAAAAGGUGCAAUCAUUGCAGAUUCUCAGCACUACUUGUCAUAAUCUUGCCACUUACCGCAAUAUUCUUCUCA
rnacentral:lncRNA from 1 species